rnacentral:sRNA from 1 species
UGGACAUGACCAGAUUCUUGGGCUUGGUGUUUUGAGCGCCGUGCUUCACCAGCAGCAGUUCACGAAGAUAUCAUAUCGCACGAUUGUCCGCUUGGCUCAUUUUGCCAGGGAGCUUCACUUUUCGCUUUUGCCAAGUCCAAUCACUUCUCUAAGGAUCUGGCCAACAAAAAAAAAAAAGAGCUACGCCUCAUAAUACAAAGCUCUUAGCUUCCGUUUGCCAUCUUUUGCAUUUGGUGAUCUCCGUGUCUAUGAAUCAAGCUAUGAGAUUAAAGUUUUGCAAAAGGCGGCUCAAAACUGAUAUCAUCACCGCCUC